CCUCGUGAAUUCAUCUCCGGGGGUAGAGCACUGUUUCGGCUAGGGGGCCAUCCCGGCUUACCAACCCGAUGCAAACUGCGAAUACCGGAGAAUGUUAUCACGGGAGACACACGGCGGGUGCUAACGUCCGUCGUGAAGAGGGAAACAACCCAGACCGCCAGCUAAGGUCCCAAAGUCAUGGUUAAGUGGGAAACGAUGUGGGAAGGCCCAGACAGCCAGGAUGUUGGCUUAGAAGCAGCCAUCAUUUAAAGAAAGCGUAAUAGCUCACUGGUCGAGUCGGCCUGCGCGGAAGAUGUAACGGGGCUAAACCAUGCACCGAAGCUGCGGCAGCGACGCUUAUGCGUUGUUGGGUAGGGGAGCGUUCUGUAAGCCUGCGAAGGUGGCCUGUGAGGGUUGCUGGAGGUAUCAGAAGUGCGAAUGCUGACAUAAGUAACGAUAAAGCGGGUGAAAAGCCCGCUCGCCGGAAGACCAAGGGUUCCUGUCCAACGUUAAUCGGGGCAGGGUGAGUCGACCCCUAAGGCGAGGCCGAAAGGCGUAGUCGAUGGGAAACGGGUUAAUAUUCCCGUACUUGGUGUUACUGCGAAGGGGGGACGGAGAAGGCUAUGUUGGCCGGGCGACGGUUGUCCCGGUUUAAGCGUGUAGGUGUGUGUUCCAGGUAAAUCCGGUUCACUUUAACACUGAGGCGUGACGACGAGGCACUACGGUGCUGAAGCAACAAAUGCCCUGCUUCCAGGAAAAGCCUCUAAGCAUCAGGUAACAUCAAAUCGUACCCCAAACCGACACAGGUGGUCAGGUAGAGAAUACCAAGGCGCUUGAGAGAACUCGGGUGAAGGAACUAGGCAAAAUGGUGCCGUAACUUCGGGAGAAGGCACGCUGACAC
rnacentral:rRNA from 1 species